CCCUGGCUAGCUCUGUUGGUAGAGCAUGAGACUCAUAGUCUCGGGGUAGCGGGUUUGUGUCCCACGUUGGGUU
rfam:Lepisosteus oculatus linkage group LG9, whole genome shotgun sequence.